UAGUGGCGAACGGGUGAGUAACACGUGGGCAAUCUGCCCUUCACUCUGGGACAAGCCCUGGAAACGGGGUCUAAUACCGGAUAACACUCCUACUCGCAUGGGUGGGGGUUAAAAGCUCCGGCGGUGAAGGAUGAGCCCGCGGCCUAUCAGCUUGUUGGUGAGGUAAUGGCUCACCAAGGCGACGACGGGUAGCCGGCCUGAGAGGGCGACCGGCCACACUGGGACUGAGACACGGCCCAGACUCCUACGGGAGGCAGCAGUGGGGAAUAUUGCACAAUGGGCGAAAGCCUGAUGCAGCGACGCCGCGUGAGGGAUGACGGCCUUCGGGUUGUAAACCUCUUUCAGCAGGGAAGAAGCGAAAGUGACGGUACCUGCAGAAGAAGCGCCGGCUAACUACGUGCCAGCAGCCGCGGUAAUACGUAGGGCGCAAGCGUUGUCCGGAAUUAUUGGGCGUAAAGAGCUCGUAGGCGGCUUGUCACGUCGGGUGUGAAAGCCCGGGGCUUAACCCCGGGUCUGCAUUCGAUACGGGCUAGCUAGAGUGUGGUAGGGNAGAUCGGANUCCU
rnacentral:rRNA from 1 species